rnacentral:rRNA from 1 species
AUUGAACGCUGGCGGAAUGCUUUACACAUGCAAGUCGAGCGGCAGCGCGGGGGCAACCCUGGCGGCGAGCGGCGAACGGGUGAGUAACAUAUCGGAACGUACCCAGUCGUGGGGGAUAACUAUCCGAAAGGAUAGCUAAUACCGCAUACGUCCUGAGGGAGAAAGCGGGGGAUCGCAAGACCUCGCGCGAUUGGAGCGGCCGAUAUCGGAUUAGCUAGUUGGUGGGGUAAAGGCUCACCAAGGCGACGAUCCGUAGCGGGUCUGAGAGGACGACCCGCCACACUGGAACUGAGACACGGUCCAGACUCCUACGGGAGGCAGCAGUGGGGAAUUUUGGACAAUGGGCGCAAGCCUGAUCCAGCCAUUCCGCGUGCAGGAUGAAGGCCUUC